rnacentral:sRNA from 1 species
AAAACCAAAGGCAGAUCGUGCGAGUGAAAAGUGCGGCAAUAUGUCCAAGCGAAGUGUGAAAAGUGUUUCAUAUUUUAAAUAUUCAUACUGUACAUACGCAUUUAUGUAUAUAAACAUAUUAUUUUGUGGAUUAAUUAAUGUUUACUUAGCGGAGCACCCUCGCUUGCUCUGUGCCGUAAGGUGUCUCAUGUUUUUUUUUCCCUUUCGUUAACGAAGUCUUUCGAUGUGUACUCGUGUGUGUAUGUAAAAGCUAAGCACGAAAGUUGCCCUCCAAGACUCAAGACACUCAAUUCUCCAUCCACGCCCACUCAAGAGAUUGCAAGAGAGCACGAGCAUAGAAAGAAGAGCAAACAAAAAUCAGUGAGCGCCUAUUGUCGGUGCGCUCUCGAUCUACAUACAUACAUCGAUCUACAUACAUUACUCGAACACAUAUGUAUGUAAAUGUCAGCAAUAGGUGACAACAGGUGACAUCGUUAAAAAUGUAACAGAUCGAAGAAGAUAAGAAGCUUAAAUAAUGAAAUGGUGAAUAUAUUGACACAGCAUGGAAACAGCAAGUAAAGAACAGAAUGAAUGCAGCGAGGAGAACUACCAGCGCAUUAUUAUAGGCAAAAGGAAAGAGAACCAAGCUUUUGUUUCUGUCAGUACUUUUCCUCACGUGCGAAUAUUCCAGCUUUUCAUUUAUCUAUAAACGAGAAAAGCCAGCAACCGAAAUUGUCAUAUGCAAAAACGGAGGAGAAAGGAUUGAGAAAGCAACAGACUUCAUUUGCAAAGUAGACAAGUGCCGCUGUGCAAAUUGCAGACUGGGGAAUACUCGUAGACCAAAGGACCAGGACCAGGACCAGGACCAGGGCCAGGAGGGGUGUGCGAGCGUAUGCUCCCUGGGAACUGCGUUUGCAAUUUAUAUAUAUUUUUUAUUGUCAAAUUUUUGUUCAGAACGCUACCCCAAGAUGAAGAUGGAAAAUGGCAGCGGAGGAUUGGAUUGGAUAGAGUGGAAUAACGGAGAAGGUAACCCUUGUCUGGUUCUGGUACGUGAUAUUUGAUAUCUGCGGCCGGACACUUUGGGGAAUACUUAGGAAACCAAAUUCACUCAUGAGUUAAUCAUUGGAAUUGGAAUAUUCAUAUGUGUCUGUAAUUCUUGUACUGAUCCCCAUCAAGCCGCGUCAAAAGAUCUUUAAAGUUUUGGAAUAAAGCCCCUGUAUGGUACCACCAUCGGAUACCAUAGAUCUCCGCUGGAACUUCCCACUUGAGAAUGGGAAGAGCGCAGGGCUGGGCAGAGAGAAGUACAUACUCCGUAAAGUACUCUGCGAAAGGGAAGGAGAACUCUGCGGAUGGCGACACGGAGUCUACCGGUCUGGAGAGAGAUAAACUUUCAGAUAUACUCGUAACUGUAACUGUGGUAUUUAUUUAAUGGUCACACGUUUGUGGUGGAAGGAACUACUCUCUGGCUUUGCGAUGGGGUGUCAGGGGAAAAGUUUACAGAUUGAUCCAUUCUUUCGGGAGCAAAAUAUUUAAUGG